AGCGAACGCUGGCGGCAGGCCUAACACAUGCAAGUCGAACGAACUCUUCGGAGUUAGUGGCGGACGGGUGAGUAACACGUGGGAACGUGCCUUUUGGUUCGGAAUAACUCAGGGAAACUUGUGCUAAUACCGAAUGUGCCCUUCGGGGGAAAGAUUUAUCGCCAUUAGAGCGGCCCGCGUCUGAUUAGCUAGUUGGUGAGGUAACGGCUCACCAAGGCGACGAUCAGUAGCUGGUCUGAGAGGAUGAGCAGCCACACUGGGACUGAGACACGGCCCAGACACCUACAGGAGGCAGCAGUAGGGACUCUUCCGCAAUGGGCGAGAGCCUGACGGAGCAACGCCGAGUGAGUUCUGAAGGUCUUAUGAUCGUAAACCUCUGUUAUUAGGGAAGAACAAAAGUGUAAGUAACUAUGCACGUCUUGACGGUACCUAAUCAGAAAGCCACGGCUAACUACGUG
rnacentral:rRNA from 1 species